rnacentral:rRNA from 1 species
AUUGAACGCUGGCGGCAGGCCUAACACAUGCAAGUCGAGCGAGCGGCGGACAGGUGAGUAAUGUGUGGGAAACUGCCUGAUGUGGAGGGGGAACUACUGGAGACGGUGGCUAAUACCGCAUGCCAUCAGGUAUGCCCCGAUGGGAUUAGCUAGAAGGUGGGGUAAUGGCUCACCUAGGCGACGAUCCCUAGCUGGUCUGAGAGGAUGACCAGCCACACCGGGACUGAGACACGGUCCAGACUCCUACGGGAGGCAGCAGUGGGGAAUAUUGCACAAUGGGCGCAAGCCUGAUGCAGCCAUGCCGCGUGUGUGAAGAAGGCCUUCGGGUUGUAAAGUACUUUCAGCGGGGAGGCGUUACCCGCAGAAGAAGCACCGGCUAACUCCGUGCCAGCAGCCGCGGUAAUAC